rnacentral:rRNA from 1 species
GAUGAACGCUGGCGGCGUGCCUAAUACAUGCAAGUCGAGCGAACAGAUGAGGAGCUUGCUCCUCUAACGUUAGCGGCGGACGGGUGAGUAACACGUGGAUAACCUACCUAUAAGACUGGGAUAACUUCGGGAAACCGGAGCUAAUACCGGAUAAUAUAUUGAACCGCAUGGUUCAAUAGUGAAAGACGGUUUUGCUGUCACUUAUAGAUGGAUCCGCGCCGCAUUAGCUAGUUGGUAAGGUAACGGCUUACCAAGGCAACGAUGCGUAGCCGACCUGAGAGGGUGAUCGGCCACACUGGAACUGAGACACGGUCCAGACUCCUACGAGAGGCAGCAGUAGGGAAUCUUCCGCAAUGGGCGAAAGCCUGACGGAGCAACGCCGCGUGAGUGAUGAAGGUCUUCGGAUCGUAAAACUCUGUUAUUAGGGAAGAACAAAUGUGUAAGUAACUAUGCACGUCUUGACGGUACCUAAUCAGAAAGCCACGGCUAACUACGUG